GGGUUGUGAGGUUAAGCGACUAAGCGUACACGGUGGAUGCCCUGGCAGUCAGAGGCGAUGAAGGGCGUGCUAAUCUGCGAUAAGCGCCGGUAAGGUGAUAUGAACCGUUAUAACCGGCGAUACCCGAAUGGGGAAACCCAGUGUGAUUCGUCACACUAUCAUUAACUGAAUCCAUAGGUUAAUGAGGCGAACCGGGGGAACUGAAACAUCUAAGUACCCCGAGGAAAAGAAAUCAACCGAGAUUCCCCCAGUAGCGGCGAGCGAACGGGGAGGAGCCCAGAGCCUGAAUCAGCAUGUGUGUUAGUGGAAGCGUCUGGAAAGGCGCGCGAUACAGGGUGACAGCCCCGUACACAAAAGCGCAUGUGCUGUGAGCUCGAUGAGUAGGGCGGGACACGUGGUAUCCUGUCUGAAUAUGGGGGGACCAUCCUCCAAGGCUAAAUACUCCUGACUGACCGAUAGUGAACCAGUACCGUGAGGGAAAGGCGAAAAGAACCCCGGCGAGGGGAGUGAAAAAGAACCUGAAACCGUGUACGUACAAGCAGUGGGAGCACCCUUUGGGUGUGACUGCGUACCUUUUGUAUAAUGGGUCAGCGACUUAUAUUCUGUAGCAAGGUUAACCGAAUAGGGGAGCCGGAGGGAAACCGAGUCUUAACCGGGCGUUAAGUUGCAGGGUAUAGACCCGAAACCCGGUGAUCUAGCCAUGGGCAGGUUGAAGGUUGGGUAACACUAACUGGAGGACCGAACCGACUAAUGUUGAAAAAUUAGCGGAUGACCUGUGGCUGGGGGUGAAAGGCCAAUCAAACCGGGAGAUAGCUGGUUCUCCCCGAAAGCUAUUUAGGUAGCGCCUCGUGAAUUCAUCUCCGGGGGUAGAGCACUGUUUCGGCUAGGGGGCCAUCCCGGCUUACCAACCCGAUGCAAACUGCGAAUACCGGAGAAUGUUAUCACGGGAGACACACGGCGGGUGCUAACGUCCGUCGUGAAGAGGGAAACAACCCAGACCGCCAGCUAAGGUCCCAAAGUCAUGGUUAAGUGGGAAACGAUGUGGGAAGGCCCAGACAGCCAGGAUGUUGGCUUAGAAGCAGCCAUCAUUUAAAGAAAGCGUAAUAGCUCACUGGUCGAGUCGGCCUGCGCGGAAGAUGUAACGGGGCUAAACCAUGCACCGAAGCUGCGGCAGCGACACUGUGUGUUGUUGGGUAGGGGAGCGUUCUGUAAGCCUGUGAAGGUGUGUCGUGAGGCAUGCUGGAGGUAUCAGAAGUGCGAAUGCUGACAUAAGUAACGAUAAAGCGGGUGAAAAGCCCGCUCGCCGGAAGACCAAGGGUUCCUGUCCAACGUUAAUCGGGGCAGGGUGAGUCGACCCCUAAGGCGAGGCCGAAAGGCGUAGUCGAUGGGAAACGGGUUAAUAUUCCCGUACUUGGUGUUACUGCGAAGGGGGGACGGAGAAGGCUAUGUUGGCCGGGCGACGGUUGUCCCGGUUUAAGCGUGUAGGUGUGUGUUCCAGGUAAAUCCGGUUCACUUUAACACUGAGGCGUGACGACGAGGCACUACGGUGCUGAAGCAACAAAUGCCCUGCUUCCAGGAAAAGCCUCUAAGCAUCAGGUAACAUCAAAUCGUACCCCAAACCGACACAGGUGGUCAGGUAGAGAAUACCAAGGCGCUUGAGAGAACUCGG
rnacentral:rRNA from 1 species